rnacentral:tRNA from 1 species
GGGCCUGUAGCUCAGCCUGGUUUAGAGCGCUCGGCUCAUAACCGAUUGGUUCGGGGGAUCGAAGCCUCCCAGGCCCA